rnacentral:rRNA from 1 species
UACCCUUGACAUGGUCGGAAUCCUGAAGAGAUUUAGGAGUGCUCGAAGGAGAACCGACACACAGGUGCUGCAUGGCUGUCGUCAGCUCGUGUCGUGAGAUGUUGGGUUAAGUCCCGCAACGAGCGCAACCCUUGUCAUUAGUUGCUACGAAAGGGCACUCUAAUGAGACUGCCGGUGACUAAACCGGAGGAAGGUGGGGAUGACGUCAAGUCCUCAUGGCCCUUAUGGGUAGGGCUUCACACGUCAUACAAUGGUACAUACAGAGGGCUGCCAACCCGCGAGGGGGAGCUAAUCCCAGAAAGUGUAUCGUAGUCCGGAUUGUAGUCUGCAACUCGACUACAUGAAGUUGGAAUCGCUAGUAAUCGCGGAUCAGCAUGUCGCGGUGAAUACGUUCCCGGGUCUUGUACACACCGCCCGUCACACCAUGGGAGCGGGUUUUACCAGAAGUGGGUAGCCUAACCGCAAGGAGGGCGCUUACCACGGUAGGAUUCGUGACUGGGGUGAAGUCGUAACAAGGUAGGCGUAGUGCU